CACCUGUUAUCUGCCAUGUAAGCAUUGAAUUCAUGGAGUGGUUCUUGAACUUUGGAGGAAAAAAAAAAAAAAAGAAAAGGAAAGUUCUUCCUUCCGGCCGCCCCUUAGUAAAUGACUGUUGUGAAGAAGAUCCAUUCUGGCGGAGAAAGUCGUGUGCCGAGUGCUCACCGUGGUCAGGCUUUAGUCCUCUUGGGGUUUUGUAGAAGAUGCAGGGUUCUCUCUCAGAAUGCAGGUAUGCAGAACUCCAGGUCUGAGAAACAUCUGUGAAGCACUGAUCUGCCCUCUGAAUUUUCUCCUCAUAAAGUGAUAGCGAACGGAAGUCAUGGAUUCCGUGGUUUUUGUAGUUCAGAAAUGAGCACAGUAGUCGGGUCUUCUCUGAGACUUCUGUGUCUGGAGACGCCGAGAUAGUGUUGGCCACCGGUCCGUGACUGCAGCUUGGAGACCUUAGGGAGGCGGAGACCCUGCUGACUGCUGUGUGGGAAGCCGGCCUGGGGACACCGAGCAGGAGAUUGAGUCAUUUUCCUGUUGUCUAGAAAUGUCUGCACUGCAGAGCAGAUACUGCCAAACGUGCAGAGAUUCGGGGCCUCCUUACACUUUGGAUCCACUUUCGGAAGGCCAGGAAGAAAUAGAUGUUGGGAGCAAACAAAGCCGGGAAGGAUUUGUCUGUCAGUCGAACUUGAGUGCUGUUGAGCACUACUCCAGUAUUCCUGUUCCAAACCCACAUGUGUGGAAAAGUAGCAUGAUCCGCUAGUCAGCAGAAUGAAAAUCCUUAGGAUUUAUCUUAACUCGAUUGGACAAAACCAUACCGACCCCAGAUGUAGUAUUUGGUCUUUGUCCCCUUUGCUUCUCUCCUUGUUUCUUGACGUCACUGCCCCUGACCCCUCACUUGCUCCGCUGUACCCUCCCUCUUUACUUUCUUCUUCUUCAGGAUCGUGACGACGAGAAGUUCGGAGGGCUGUGUGCUAAGGGCACAGUCCCUUAACUCCUCAAGACGGUGACGCCAUGCCACACUCAGCGGAUUGCUCCAAGAACUGCCACGACUUCCCGCCUCCCACCCAGCGUAGACAUCCCCUGAUGCAGUGUGCUGCCACGUGGUGGGGCUUCUUCUUGUCUUCUCUUGUCUUUCUCUGGGUUUGUGCCUUGCCUUGGGAGCUUGUCUGUCUGGGCUUCAGCUUAACUCACUUGACAUGAUUCCUUCAAGCUCCGUCCGAGAUGAAGAAAGAGAAAUCGCCAUUUUUAAUGGCUGAGUAGUAUUCCACUUUGUAUCUAGACCACAACUUGCUCAGCCACUCUUCUGUUGUUGGACACGUGGGUUGCUUCCAGGUUUUGGCUAUCAUAAAUUGUGCUGCUUUGAGCAUAGGUGCACACAGAUCUUUUUGGAUGGAUGUGUUGGAUUCCUUAGGAUCUAUCCCCAGGAGAGGAAUUGCAGGGUCAUAGGUCAUAGGGUCAGAGAGUUCUCCAGACUACUCUCCACAGAGGUUGGACCCAUUGACACUCCCACCAGCAGUGCAGGAGGGUUCCUUUGUCCCCACACCCUCUCCAGCAUCUGUUGCUGCUGUUACCUUUUCUGGUGUGUGCCAUUCUCACGGGGUGAGUGGUAUUUCAUUGUCUUUAUUUGCAUUUCUCUAACAGUCAGUGACUUGGAGCAUUUUUGUCUUAUGCCUGUUGGCCUUUUGGAUCUCUUCUGUGGAGAAUAUUCUGUCAUGUCCUCUCUCCAUUUUUGGAUGGGAUCAUCUGUUUUCUUGUUGCUGAGUUUGGUGAGCUUUUUGUAUAUUUUGGCUACUAACCUCUUGUCUGAUGUAUGACAUGUAAAGAUCUCCCAUCCUGUCUAGAGUUCUCUUUGUUUGGGUGGUGGUUUCUUUUGCUGUGUAAAAGUUUUUCAAUUUGUUGUAGUCCCAUUGGUUUAUUUUUAUUUGUUUUCCUGGCAGUUGGACUUAUGUCAUUGAAGAUACCUAUAAACAAUAAAAGAAGCAAGUUAUUUCCGUGCUGUAAAUCCUAGAAUAAAAAUUUUUGUUGACUUUGGCAAGCAAUGCUUGGCAGGCAAACCAUUCAUAAAAAUAAAAACACAGGGAAUCGGGCAGUAGCGCAGCGGGUUAAGCGCACGUGGCGCAAAGUGCAAGGACCGGCUAAGGAUCCCGGUUCGAGCCCCGGCUCCCCACCUGCAGAGGAGUCACUUUACAGGCAGUGAAGCAGGUCUGCAGGUGUCUAUCUUUCUGCCUCCCCCUCCCGUCUUCCCCUCCUCUCUCCAUUUCUCUCUGUCCUAUCCAACAACAACAAUAACUACCACAAUAAAACAAGGGUAACAAAAAGGAAUAAAUAUUAAAAAUAAGUAAAUAAAAUAAAAAUAAAAACAUAAGGCUGAUAAAAUAGCUCAUGUGCACAGCCCAGGGCCCAGCCUGCCCCCCCCCCCAAGAAAGCAUCAGGGGCGCGCAGGAUGUGUUACAGAGUGUAUCGUCGCACACAGGCCAUACUUCCUACCCAGGCGGCGCAGGCUGCAGUUACACAGCAGUGGAACUGGACGUUUGCGUGCCCUGUGCCAUCUGCCACGGCUGGUUUCCAUUCACGCCAGAGCCACACUGCUGGCU